rnacentral:rRNA from 1 species
AGCGAACGCUGGCGGCAGGCUUAACACAUGCAAGUCGAACGGGCAUCUUCGGAUGUCAGUGGCAGACGGGUGAGUAACACGGGGGAACGUACCCUUCGGUUCGGAAUAACUCAGGGAAACUUGAUCUAAUACCGGAUACGCCCUUUUGGGGAAAGGUUUACUGCCGAAGGAUCGGCCCGCGUCUGAUUAGCUUGUUGGUGGGGUAACGGCCUACCAAGGCGACGAUCAGUAGCUGGUCUGAGAGGAUGAUCAGCCACACUGGGACUGAGACACGGCCCAGACUCCUACGGGAGGCAGCAGUGGGGAAUAUUGGACAAUGGGCGCAAGCCUGAUCCAGCCAUGCCGCGUGAGUGAUGAAGGCCUUAGGGUUGUAAAGCUCUUUUGUCCGGGACGAUAAUGACGGUACCGGAAGAAUAAGCCCCGGCUAACUUCGUG